GUGACUGCGUACCUUUGUGACUGCGUACCUUUUGUAUAAUGGGUCAGCGACUUAUAUUCUGUAGCAAGGUUAACCGAAUAGGGGAGCCGGAGGGAAACCGAGUCUUAAYYGGGCGUUAAGUUGCAGGGUAUAGACCCGAAACCCGGUGAUCUAGCCAUGGGCAGGUUGAAGGUUGGGUAACACUAACUGGAGGACCGAACCGACUAAUGUUGAAAAAUUAGCGGAUGACCUGUGGCUGGGGGUGAAAGGCCAAUCAAACCGGGAGAUAGCUGGUUCUCCCCGAAAGCUAUUUAGGUAGCGCCUCGUGAAUUCAUCUCCGGGGGUAGAGCACUGUUUCGGCUAGGGGGCCAUCCCGGCUUACCAACCCGAUGCAAACUGCGAAUACCGGAGAAUGUUAUCACGGGAGACACACGGCGGGUGCUAACGUCCGUCGUGAAGAGGGAAACAACCCAGACCGCCAGCUAAGGUCCCAAAGUCAUGGUUAAGUGGGAAACGAUGUGGGAAGGCCCAGACAGCCAGGAUGUUGGCUUAGAAGCAGCCAUCAUUUAAAGAAAGCGUAAUAGCUCACUGGUCGAGUCGGCCUGCGCGGAAGAUGUAACGGGGCUAAACCAUGCACCGAAGCUGCGGCAGCGAAGGGUGAGUCGACCCCUAAGGCGAGGCCGAAAGGCGUAGUCGAUGGGAAACGGGUUAAUAUUCCCGUAC
rnacentral:rRNA from 1 species